GCCAUGUCUAUAGUUGUUGCAAUAAAUAACAAUACAAUUUACGGAAAUAUACCAAACAAGAAUCAAAAUUCAUUCUCCCUAGCAUAAACUCUUAACACCACCAUCAAGCAAGAAUCUACUCGAAGUCAGGCUUCUCUGGGUAUGUGCAGCCUGACCUCUGGAUAACAACAUUUGCCGCAUAGCAACCCGCUUUGACCGCAUCCUCAAUGCUCUUCUCCUUGAUCAAUUGAGACAAAAAUCCUCCCACGAACGCAUCACCUGCUCCGUUCGUGUCCACCAAUUUCUCCUUGGGCAGGGGAAUCACGGGGAAUAAUGUCACCUUUCCAUCCUCUGCAACAACAACUGGAUCACAACCUUGGGUGAUGACAGCUAUCCUCUUGCGAGAUGAUGCUUUAGGCAGCUCUGAGAUCUUCAGAGCAAUUUCUUCAACAUUCUCGGUCUCCCAACUGUGGACCUUCGAGAAAGUCCUUGCUUCGGUCUCGUUCCCGAAAAUAUAGUCCACAUACGGCAGAGCUUUCUCCUGGGCAUCACGGAAGAACUCGCAGAUAAAAGGAGCCGACAGGUUCAUCAUAAAUACCUUGUCAUUUGCAGCUGCGUGCUCAGCUACGAGCAAAAUCGACUCUGGAGACACUGUUAGGAAAAACCCAGCAAUAUAGAUAUACUUCGCCUUCUCAACUAGUGCCCAGUUCUCUGGACUCUUUAAAUGUUCAGUCUUGUAGCAAUUUGCUGCUGACAAAUUAGCAAUCAAGGACCUUUCACCACCAACAACGCAGACAGCACAUGUACCCGUCGGAGCAGUUUCAUCCUCAUAAUAGUGAACAUUAACACCAGCAGCUGUUGAGUUUUUCUUCAUUUCCUCACCAAACUUGUCCUUUCCAAUGCAACCCAUGUAACUAGUUGCCCCCGGAAUUUGAAGCAUCCACUGGGCAACCCUUAUUGAAUUUUGAGUAGCCCCUCCAGCAAUGUAUUCAACAUUAUAUUUUUCUACAAUUUCGUCAUACAUAGGCAAAUGCUUCUCCUCUGCGAGAAUGGCAUUGUUUGGCUUGAUAUCAUACUUGUUGAGGAAAUCAUCGUCGACGACGGCUGAGAUGUCGAGGAGGGGAUUGCCCAUCCCCAGCAGGAUCCCAUCGUAUCCCGACACCGCCAUUUUUU
rnacentral:misc_RNA from 1 species